GAUGAACGCUGGCGGCAUGCCUAAGACAUGCAAGUCGAACGAAGUGUACCAUUGAAUGUUGAGUGCUUGCACAAGACUGGAUUUGGAUUCGCACUUAGUGGCAGACGGGUGAGUAACACGUGGGUAAUCUACCUCAGAGUCUGGGAUAACGUUUGGAAACGAACGCUAAUACCGGAUGAUUUAUAGAUUGAUAACAAUUUAUACUAAAAGGAGCUUCGGGCUUCGCUUUGAGAUGAGCUUGCGGUGUAUUAGCUAGUUGGUGGGGUAAUGGCCUACCAAGGCAACGAUGCAUAUCCGAGCUGAGAGGCUGAUCGGACACACUGGGACUGAGACACGGCCCAGACUCCUACGGGAGACAGCAGUUAGGAAUAUUCGUCAAUGGGGGAAACCCUGAACGAGCAAUGCCGCGUGAGUGAUGAAGGUCCUUGGAUCGUAAAACUCUGUUGUAAAGGAGAAAAUGACGGUACCUGACUAAGAAGCCCCGG
rnacentral:rRNA from 1 species